UAUAAGGUCUAACCUGCCCACUGAAAUUUUAAAGGGCCGCAGUAUUUUAACUGUGCAAAGGUAGCAUAAUAAUUAGUUUCUUAAUUAGAAGCUGGUAUGAAUGGUUGAACGAGAAAUUUACUGUCUCAAUUUAUAUAUUAAAAUUUUAUUUUUAAGUUAAAAAGCUUAAAUUUAUUUAAAAGACGAGAAGACCCUAUAGAGUUUUAUAAAUUUAAGUAUAUUAAUUUUAGAAUUUUUUUUUUAUUUAAGUUUAUUUUAUUGGGGUGAUAUAUAAAUUUAAUAAACUUUAUAUUUUUAAUUACAUUAAUUAAUGUUAAAUUGAUCCAUAUAAAUGAUUAAAAGAAAAAAUUACCUUAGGGAUAACAGCGUAAUUUUUUUUUAGAGUUCUAAUCGAAAAAAAAGAUUGCGACCUCGAUGUUGGAUUAAAAUUAAUUUUUGGUGUAGAAGCUAAAAUAUUAGGUCUGUUCGACCUUUAAAAUUUUACAUGAUCUGAGUUUAAACCGGUGUGAGCCAGGUUGGUUUCUAUCUUUAAAUUAAAUAAAUAUUUUAGUACGAAAGGACCAAGUAUUUUUAAAAUUUAAUAUUUUUUGAAUA
rnacentral:rRNA from 1 species